UACGUAGGGUGCAAGCGUUAUCCGGAAUUAUUGGGCGUAAAGAGCUCGUAGGCGGUUUGUCACGUCUGCUGUGAAAACUGGAGGCUCAACCUCCAGCCUGCAGUGGGUACGGGCAGACUAGAGUGCGGUAGGGGAGAUUGGAAUUCCUGGUGUAGCGGUGGAAUGCGCAGAUAUCAGGAGGAACACCGAUGGCGAAGGCAGAUCUCUGGGCCGUAACUGACGCUGAGGAGCAAAAGCAUGGGGAGCGAACAGG
rnacentral:rRNA from 1 species